rnacentral:rRNA from 1 species
UACGAAGGGGGCUAGCGUUGUUCGGAAUUACUGGGCGUAAAGCGCACGUAGGCGGACUAUUAAGUCAGGGGUGAAAUCCCGGAGCUCAACUCCGGAACUGCCUUUGAUACUGGUAGCCUAGAGAUCGGAAGAGGUGAGUGGAAUUCCCAGUGUAGAGGUGAAAUUCGUAGAUAUUGGGAAGAACACCAGUGGCGAAGGCGACUUACUGGACUGUAACUGACGCUGAGGCGCGAAAGCGUGGGGAGCAAACAGG